UUAAGGAAACUGACAGCUUUCAAUAGAAAGUUUGACUAACUAAUCUUCUGUAACGCUAUUAUGAGGAUUGCCCUUUGAGGUUCAUAGCAAUAGGUCGCCCUAUGGUUGGUCACAUGAUUUCUGCAA
rnacentral:sRNA from 12 species